rnacentral:rRNA from 1 species
AACGAACGCUGGCGGCAGGCUUAACACAUGCAAGUCGAGCGCCCCGCAAGGGGAGCGGCAGACGGGUGAGUAACGCGUGGGAAUCUACCGUGCCCUACGGAAUAGCUCCGGGAAACUGGAAUUAAUACCGUAUACGCCCUACGGGGGAAAGAUUUAUCGGGGUAUGAUGAGCCCGCGUUGGAUUAGCUAGUUGGUGGGGUAAAGGCCUACCAAGGCGACGAUCCAUGGCUGGUCUGAGAGGAUGAUCAGCCACAUUGGGACUGAGACACGGCCCAAACUCCUACGGGAGGCAGCAGUGGGGAAUAUUGGACAAUGGGCGCGAGCCUGAUCCAGCCAUGCCGCGUGAGUGAUGAAGGUCUUAGGAUUGUAAAGCUCUUUCACCGAUGAAGAUAAUGACGGUAGUCGGAGAAGAAGCCCCGGCUAACUUCGUGCCAGCAGCCGCCGCCGUAA